ACCAAACCCCACCCCAGAGUCAAAGCUGAGGAGCACCCAACCCUUCAGCAGCUUUUGGAUCAAGGCUGAGAUGAGCAAAGAGCCCUGAAUGGUUUGGGGUGAUGGGGAUAAACCCCUUUGCAAAGGAGCAGGAGCAGCUGUAGGGCCAGGCAUUCAUUUCCAUCCAGGAAGCAGCAAUGAGUGAAAUGUAUUUCAAAUGUUAAAGGCUUUUCAAAUCUUCACUCCCCGCUGAGCAUCUUGCCAAGUCCUGGCAGCACCUGUAGCCCCCUUGAUAAGGGGCUGGUGUGUUGCAGUCUGGGGCUCAGGAGAAGGUAGAUGUACUGAUGUCUUUUUUCAAAUUGACUUUUGUCCUCUGGGAUUUCCUACCCAGCAGAACUAAUAGUAUUAAGCAGCAGCAAAUGCCCUUGGGAGGAAAUAUUCGCUUCCUGGAGGCGGGUGGGAUUUCUAGGUUGUAGAAUAAGCCCCUUGUGGCACUUGGCAUCUUCUCCGACCCGUGCAAACAUUAACUGCUGUGUGGAUCUGCAGAGCCAGUCCUGCCUGGAGGGCAGGCAGAGUUACUCAGCUUUCCAUAUGGAGAGACACAAAGGGAUGAAGCACUCCCCAGCUCAGGCUCAGCAGAGGCAGUGCAGGGAGCAGGACUGGUGGAAGCACCCCCCCAGUGACCAGGUCGGGCUGAACGGUCCAUCACAGCCUUGCCCAAAUCCGUGCUGCACUUCGGAACACUCUGAGGACUUUCACUUAUUUUUAUUAUUUAUUUUACCUUCAAAUAGGCCGUGUUCUGUUUCCCAGCUGCAGAGGAGCUGCUGACCUCCAGUGACAUUUUCCAGAGGAAGAGUUUAACUUCCACACUGUUACACUGUGGUCAGCUCUUUUUGAGUUAUGCUGGUACUUGCACAAGCGUUGGGAAAAGCAGGGUAGACAAUAUUUGAACUACAGAAACUUGAAUUACUCCAAGUGCAAUUCUUCAGAAGCCGCUGCACAGCUGUGCUUUGCAAGCCACAAGCUCACCCACAUUCUGCUUCAGCCCGAGGGGGAGGGAGACAAAAUGCAAAGGGUAAAGAGUUCAGAUGGGCUCCAAGAGAAACCUCCAGCUCCUGGAUGAGUUAAUUCAGAAAUACCUUGUGCUGCUCUUGUUGGAAGCUAUAUAGAUGUAAAUAUUAUAUAUGCAUACGUGCAUAUAAAAAAAAAUAUAGGUGGCAUCCCUGUCAUUGACCUCUCAGCUUUAUUCUUCCAGCAGGGCAGGUGUGUGCCCUGGACACUGCCACCCCUCACUAAUCCCAGCCUCUGAGAGGACCUGGACAAAGGGAAUGCUACUUUUACACCCUCCUUUAGGUAAAGCCCAUGAGUAGCUUAGCUCACCCCAUCAGGCUCAGCAUGGCCUUGGCCAGGGCUGGGAGGGGAGGUGGCAUCAGGAGCUGUGAGACUCCUGCCCUCCCACCCCUGCUGGCCAAAGCCCUGGUGCUGAUGGAGUUUGGGGCAGGUUUAUUUUCAGGAGCUGGAGCUGAGCAGGUAAAGGCAGCAGGAUAUUUCUUUUUUUUUUCCCUUCAACGGGUCAGAAAUGCAUCUUCAGCUGUGUGUCCAGUUUAGCAUUUCACGAGGUGCGUACAAGCACAGGGGAAUAUGUGGGCAGUGUUGUAAAAACGUGAAGCAGCUGGUUAGUGUGUGCUGUGUAUACCUUUCUGUGUGUGAUUAUAGUGGCGUUUGUGUUGGAAUAGAUGAGGUUUGAACAAAAUAACCCUUCUGUCUACUCCUUUUCAUUUCACUGCUCUGUGCUGUCAGCGUGCAGCCCUGUAGGAGGAAGAGGGGGCUGUGAGCAGGACGUGAACUCGUGCCUUCGCUGCGCGUUGGGACUGCUGGAAGUGGCAGCUUUGUUUCACGAGGUGCACAAUUUCCCCAGCUCGUGCAGGAUCCCCCCUCUGAGACAUGCAGGCCGUGUUUCUAAAUACUUGAAGUACCAUUUGUUGUGCAAUUAUUUGGCUUCACCCUUUUAUGAGCUGAGAGGAGAGAGGGAAGAAGAAUCGCACAUCUGGAUGAGCCAAGCCAACCCCCGCUCGAGCUCCUGCUGUUUCUUUCCUGGAAAGUUUUAGGAUCUGGUUUUGUUCCAGGUAUAUGAUGGACCUUACUAGAGUCACCUUUCUUAAGGUCUUACUUUGGUAUGGGCUUUUAAUUUAGUGCUUUCCUUUGGCUUCCUUAGCCCUCCCCUUAUAUAUCCCUUUUUCAUCAUUCGCUUAUUUAAAAAAAAAACGCAACAGCUUCUUGUAAUUCUGAAUUCCCAGUCUGCCUCCCGGCCAUGGAGUUAAUGAUUCAGCCAGAGGUACCUCAGUCCCAUGCCUGAGAGGUGAGCUGGGUUUCAGAGUUCCCACAUGACACCUACUGAUGGAACUUUUGCAGAGAGCACACCUGGUAUUCGAUGCACAGAUCUUUGCUCAUUUUAAUUGUCAAAAUUAGGAGAACUAGACUGUGAAUCAGAGCCCUACCUGCAAGCACGAGUACACUUUUGGUGUUAGAGUCUGUUUUCAACAAAAGCCUUGAAGUUCCUGCUGAAGCUGCCUUAAUUUAAAAAUCAAAGUUUAUUUGUAAGACUCAUCUCUGAUUAUUAUUUUUUUUUUAAAGUUUGGAAAUAGUUUAUUUAUCCUCAUCUCACGAAGCUGUGAAGUAGAUCCUGUAGCCAUGGUAAUAUUUAUUCUUGUUGCUGAAGGCAUGUUCAUGUGUUCUGUAUCAUGUUAUAUUCACGUGGUUUGUACCUCAAUGCAUUUUUGUUUUUCUUCUUUUAGCGCACAAAGCAAAACUGAAUCCCAGGAUUUCUGUGGUGUCCUUGGCCCAGCAUCUUUGGGCAGACAAACCUCAGCUCUAUGAGAGAGGUAAACUGGACUUGUCCACUGCAAUUCUUAAAUUCAUACUCUAAGGAGUAUUUUAUGAUUUAUAAUAUUAUGUAUUUAUAAUUUUAAGAAAAAGAUACCGAACUUUAAAAAGUUCUGAGUAGAAGCAUCCCUUCAAACAUAUCAUUAACAUGAAGCUCAGAAAAAAAAACCCUGGGCUCUAUAAACACUCCAUUAUUCUUGAUAUUUUCUAUUUUGUCAGCUGAGGGCCUGGAGAGGGUUUUGUUUCCCAGUUCAUGGCUGUAAUACUUUCUGUUAUGGGAGGGCACAGAGCCCUGGUUCAGUUUUGUCCUUUGUGCAUCAGAUAAUCACAACGAAGCCUUUUUCCUUCCAUUUAUGGUGUGGAAAGUGUUUCUUGGUGUACUGCACUGCAUGUGAUAGCUGUCUCCAUGGUUGACAUUUGCACUUUAAU
ensembl:lncRNA